rnacentral:lncRNA from 1 species
UCUUGAUGCUUUCCAGGAAUGUCCAUCUGCAGCAAGAACCUCAAUAUGAUCUCUAUACAUUUUUACUAAGAUAUCCGAGCUCUAUCAUUCAAGAUCUAGCCACUUGAAAUUCAGGUCCAUAAGGGCAUCAAAGAGUAUCUCCAGCAAUUUCCCUAUAUAACUUCACCUAUAAGGCCCCACUUGAACCCGUGUAAAUUUAUACACACGGAUUAAAUUUACUCCUACAUGUGUAUAUUAGCUGCUGGAAUUUUUGUCCAAAAGGACCCCCUCUCGAACGCAUUUGCCAGAAAAGACCACAUGCAGGCGAUAAAAACGGAAAGGACCCCCUCUCCGCGUGGCGGCAGGCGCGCCAGGCGGCACGUGGCACCUGCCGCCACCGCCCGAGGCGGCUGGGGCACCUGCCGCCACCAGCCCAGGCGGUCGGCUGUGGAUCCCGUUCCCGCCACGCCGCGCCGUAACGGACAGAGGCUGGGUGGGCCCUGCCGCCACCACCCCAGGCGGCCGACCGGGAAUCUGGGCGCCCACGACAGCGACGCUGAUUGCACUAACUCGCGAUGGAUGCAUAUGAGCUUCAACUCCUUUUUAUCAUACUACUUCACUCUAUGUUGCAUGUGUAUAGCAAUUGCAUAGCUAUGUAUUGCUUGUUUAGCAGAUUUCUUAUCUGGGAAAAUCUAUCCAACGGCCAGACUUCCCGCUUCUAGGCCAGCAACAGAGUGAAAUUCAUUGGUGAUGCUCAUAACCUGUAAAAACUCUGGGUUGAUUGGUGCAGCGACCGCCUUCUCAGGAGGAACAACUUCAUCAUCAUCUGAUUCCGAAGAGGCAGAAGAAUGACCAUCAUCGUCAUCAUCUAGCGCCUUCGGCAAUCCCUCGACAUGUUCGCUCAUGUCAACGACCGCAGACCAAUAUCCCGUGUCAUACACUUGUUGGCCACCUGUUGGUUCCGAUGGGCCGGCGUCGGGGGCUACAGUUAUGGCCAACUCGGCCUCACCGGCACUGCUACUGCACUCGGCGACAUCACUGGCAGAAAUGAACUCCACAUAAACCAUGGGUUGUCCAUACAUGGAGUUAUUGGGAUUGCUUGCAAAACCCAUGUACGACGCCCAUGAUAUUUCACCAGUAACCCGCCGCAGGACCCAACGAUUUCCUCCCUCAACCACGAAAGCCUCCAUGGUCAUUUUUUUCAUUCAUCGCUGAACCAAACACCGUUCGGAUGCACCUUCUAACUGCCGCAUACUCUACAUUAACCAUGUCUUUCACUACAACCGUAGUCAUCCCGCACCUAGACACAUCCACACCAGAAAGACCCUCACGUAUGAUGUGCCAAUAAAACACUAACAAAUUUUCAAUAGUACCUAACGAGCAGCCAUAUUUACAUAGUUAGUCCAUUAAAAAUCAUAUUCUUAUAUUUACAUUGUAAUAACAUCUAUUACUUAUCUUUUUUUACAUAUAACAAUUUGACGAAUAUUCACAAAUGACUAUACAUCUACGCAUAAUAAUUUAUAUUGUACCAUUUGUGGCGACACUACAUAUACAAAAUAAAUACAUCAUAAAUUAGAAUAUGUCAUUCAUACCUCUGGUUUAAUGAGGAUAUCCUUACGAAUACAAAAAUAUCCUUUCGAAUAUCACAGUUAACUUAUCACCGGUAUAAUAUCAGCGAAUUCGACCUAUUAUCACAUGAACAAAAAUAUUACACACGCGUCUUGCAUGUAAUAUAUAAUAAUACUAAUGGAGUUAACAUAUUAUUACAUGUUUAACAAAAGUGCUAGUUACAUAUAAACGGAGUCGACAUAUUAUCACAUGAUCAAAAAUGUUACACACAUAUUUUUUUUACCUUCCUAAGGUUUCUAAAAUGCAGUUGCAUGGCUAAACAUAUCACCAGUAAUUUAUCAAAGUAAUCGACCUAUUAUCACAUAAACAAAAAUGCUAGUUGCAUGCGUGCGUCUUGCAUAUAUAAUUACACAAAUUGAUACAUUACAGUGUUAAUAAACAGAAAGUACAUACUUAAAAAACUAAUCAAAUAGACUAAAAUUUCCGUGCAUGUGAACAAAACCUACGAAAAUGAAUAGAUUUUACCUUGAUCUAUCUUUCUUUCAACUGCAACAUAUUCGAUAUCCAACCCAAAAGACCAGAAAUCUUGAAUCAAAGUGAAGAAAGGAGUGUGUUCUUCAGCUACAGAGAAAUGAAAAGACAGUGAGAAUAACCCAAAAUAAAAACAUCAUGCAUGCAAACACAAUCAACAGAAAUGGAAAACUCUUACCUUGAUCUAUCUUUUACUCAACUACGACGUCUUCAAAAUCCAAUUUAAAACCGUCCUAAAUCA